rnacentral:rRNA from 1 species
UACAGAGGGUGCGAGCGUUGUCCGGAAUCACUGGGCGUAAAGGGCGCGUAGGUGGCGGCCCAAGUCCGUGGUGAAAGCUCGCCGCUUAACGGCGAGUCGGCCACGGAGACUGGGUGGCUCGAGCACUGUAGGGGCAGAUGGAAUUCCGGGUGUAGCGGUGGAAUGCGUAGAGAUCCGGAAGAACACCAGUGGCGAAGGCGGUCUGCUGGGCAGUUGCUGACACUGGAUGCGCGACAGCGUGGGGAGCAAACAGGG